AAGGCGAUAUUCAUGCAUGAUCCAGUUAGUUUUGAUUCCUUUUGGAGCUUUGCCAGCAUAAAAUACCAGUGCUUUCUUGAUGCCAAGAGUUUUGGGCCGACCAAUGGGUUUAUCAGCUCCCGUAGCUUUCCAGUAUCCUGUUCCAGCUGCCCGGUUGGGUCGUGAACCGUUGGGAUACUUUCUAUCCCUUGGAGAAAAGAAGUACCACUCCUUUUCGCCGUAUAGAGCCAUUUCUGGUAGCUGCCAGGGAUCAUUCUUGUAAAGAUCAAUCUCCGCAAUAAUCGGAACAGAAAUAGGCUGUCCUGCACACUUCCUAAUCAAGUAAUGAUUCACCAAUUCAUCGUCAGUCGGAUGAAAUCUGAACCCAGGAGGUAACUCCAGCUCAGCUCCCUUCAUUUCUACUUUUCAAGUCUCUCUCUAGAUUUCUCUUCUCUUCUCUUCCCUUUAUAGCUGCCGCCUUUUUAGAAUUUGCUCCUCUUUUUUACCUUCUUUCUUUGCUUAUUCUAGUCUCGCUCUGGCUCUGCCGCUGAUGCUGCUCGCUUGAAAGACUUGAACACAAGACAGUAAGAGGGAAACGAAGGUUUUAUAAGGCGAGAACCCAAAAAUUAAAAUUAUAA
rnacentral:misc_RNA from 1 species